rnacentral:rRNA from 1 species
UACGUAGGUGGCAAGCGUUUGUCCGGAAUUAUUGGGCGUAAAGCGCGCGCAGGCGGUCCUUUAAGUCUGAUGUGAAAGCCCACGGCUCAACCGUGGAGGGUCAUUGGAAACUGGGGGACUUGAGUGCAGGAGAGAAGAGUGGAAUUCCACGUGUAGCGGUGAAAUGGCGUAGAGAUGUGGAGGAACACCAGUGGCGAAGGCGACUCUUUGGCCUGUAACUGACGCUGAGGCGCGAAAGCGUGGGGAGCAAACAGG